AUGCGCGCGCGCACGACACACACACACGCACACAUCUCCGUUUGCCUUGCCCCCCCUCAAGGCCCCUCCUGGGCCCAGCGCACACACACACACACACACACACACACACACACACACACACCUCUCUGUUUGCCUUGUCCUCCCAUCUCAAGGCCCCUCCUGGGCCUGCCGCGCACACACACACACACACACACACACACCUCUCUCUGUUUGCCUUGUCCCCGCAUCUCAAGGUCCCUCCUGGGCCCGCCAUGCGCGCGCGCACGACACACACACACGCACACAUCUCCGUUUGCCUUGCCCCCCCUCAAGGCCCCUCCUGGGCCCAGCGCACACACACACACACACACACACACACACACACACACACACCUCUCUGUUUGCCUUGUCCUCCCAUCUCAAGGCCCCUCCUGGGCCUGCCGCGCACACACACACACACGCACACGCACACCUCUCUAUUUGCCUUGUUCCCCCAUCUCAAGGCCCCUCCUGGGCCCAGCACAUACACACACACACACGCACACCUCUCUGUUUGCCUUGUUCCCCCAUCUCAAGGCCCCUCCUGGGCCCAGUGCACACACACACACACACACACACACACACACACACAAACGUCUCCGUUUGCCUUGUCCCCCCGCUUCUCAAGGCCCCUCCUGGGCCCAGCGCGUGCACACACACACACACACACACACACACACACACACACAUCUCUGUUUGCCUUGUCCCCACUCCCAGGUCCUCCCUGUAGGGGAACCAAAGAGGGGGUCUCCACCCCCAGGGAGGCCCACCCCUCAUUUAAUGGCCCCCUCCCCUGCACUGCGCAGUGGCAGCCGGUUUUUCCUGAAGGCUGAGAGAAGGAAACACACACCCGCUGUGCCUCCUCAGAGCAGGGAGUUCCCCAUCUGUCUGCUCCAAGCGGCGCCCGACGUCCUGAUUGUCACUGAAGCCGGGGCUCAGGUGGAAGUGGCUGCUUGGAGCUGGAGCUGGGGUUCAAGAGAGGCGAAGGCAGCUCCUCCCUCCUCUUCUCCACGCACUCAGCGUCCACUCAAGCCUGCCCUCCAGGAGCUCAGUUCCAGGCUCCUCUGCCCCUCCUCCCCACCACAGCCACCUGCACCCCCCGCCCUGCAGUCAUCUGCUGCCCCUUACCCCUGCCCGGCCUGUCUCCGCAGUCCUGGCUCAGUCCUGGGGGCUGGAGGAUGGGGGGCUUGGUCUUCCUGGCCCCAAGUAGGGGGUCCCAGAACAUUCUCUUCUGAGCAUGACCCCUCCCCCUCCCUGCCUCUCUCCUCACUCACUGAAGACCCCAGCGAGCACCCAGCUCGGCCACCACUGACAUCUGUGUCCACAAGAAGGAUGAUGGGGGACUGCCCUGGUGGUCCAGUGGCUAAGACUCUGAUCUCUCAAUGCUGGGGCCCUGGGUUUGAUCCCUGGUUGGGGAACUAG
rnacentral:lncRNA from 1 species